GUGGGAGUACUGAAGGAAAAGACAAAGAAGGACAGACUGAGAAGUCAGCACAAAACAACGCUAAGAACCUGGAGCUGGCUGCAAUGGGCCACUGGGCUAAACUGUACUACUGAUUUAUUUCCAUAAUUACAAGCAGCACAGCCCUUCAACAAAGAAGAACAAUUUGGCUCUGGAAAGUAGAUGGACACCUUUAAAAUAGCUCAGCUUACUGUAUGCCAGCCACAGACAAAACACAAAGGAAGACAUGACCUCCGCUUCAAUAUACUCACAAGCACGGGAAAGAAAGAACUGGCAGAAAGAGGGGCUGGUAUGAUGUAUAUUAAUAAUAUUCAGAAGAAUGAGAAGUUGCUUUC